UGGGUUUUUUCCUCAAAUAGUUUUAUAUUUAUGUUUUAUUGGGAAACCAUUGAUUAGGCUGCAUUUCUAGAAUUUCUUUACAUGUCUAAUAUAAUCGACUUUUCAGCAUGUCCGUAGUUUUACUGUAAUAACAAAAAAUGAAGUAUUUUAGGUAUAGAUCCUGGAAGCAUCAGUCAUCCAAAUGUAAUUAAAUAACUCAUGUCAGAUGUAUUACAUGUGAAAUGUGUGUUGGCACUCUAGCAUAAUGACUUUCCAUCAAUUUUGAUUG
rnacentral:lncRNA from 1 species